GCUUCAGCCACAUGGACAUAGCACAAUAGUGCAUAAAUGUCAACUCUCUGAGCUUUAAUUUAAGAAGAAGAAAAGGAAUCCACCAGAAUCUUGAAGGACACACCAGAUUCCGGGAAGGAGAAUGGAGGCAAACUGCCCCCAUGAUGGCAUCCAGCUAAUAAAACCAAAUAGGAAGAGCUCUGGUCUGCAGCUCCCAGUGUGAUCAAUGCAAGAUGGGUGAUUUCUGCAUUUCCAACUGAGCUACCUGAUUCAUCUCAUUGGGACUGAUUGGACAGUGAGUUCAUCCCACGGAGGGUGAGCUGAAGCAGGGCAGGGCAUCAACUCACCCAGGAAGUGCAAGGGGUUGGGGGAUUUUCCUUUCCUAGCCAAAGGAAGGCAUGACAGACUGUACCUGGAAAAACAGGACACUCUUGCCCAAAUGGACAUAAAUGACCUGAUGGAGCUGAAAAAACACAGCUCGAGAACUUCAUGAAGCAUACACAAGUCUCAAUAGCCAAAGUGACCAAGCGGAAGAAAGGAUAUCAGAGUUUGAAGACCACCUUGCUGAAAUAAAGCAUGCAGACAAGAUUAGAGAAAAAAGAAUGAAAAAGAAUGAACAAAGCCUCCAAGAAAUAUGGGACUAUGUAAAAAGACCGAACCUACUAUUGAUUGGAGUACCUGAAGGAGAUCGAGCAAAUGGAAAUGAGCUGGAAAACACUCUUCAGGCUGGGACUACACAGCCAAGGUUUUAUAUACAGGAGAACUUCCCCAACCUAGCAAGACAGGCCAACAUGCAAAUUCAGGAAAUACAGAGAACACCACUAAGAUACUCCUCGAGAAGAUCACCCCCAA
ensembl:lncRNA novel transcript